rnacentral:rRNA from 1 species
AUUGCAGGCUGNAACCCGCCUGCAUGAAGUCGGAAUUGCUAGUAAUCGCGGAUCAGCAUGCCGCGGUGAAUACGUUCCCGGGCCUUGUACACACCGCCCGUCACACCAUGGGAGCCGGUAAUACCCGAAGUCAGUAGUCCAACCACGUGAGGACGCUGCCGAAGGUAGGAUUGGCGACUGGGGUGAAGUCGUAACAAGGUAAC